ACGGGAGGCAGCAGUGGGGAAUAUUGCACAAUGGGCGCAAGCCUGAUGCAGCGAUGCCGCGUGAGGGAAGAAGGUUUUCGGAUUGUAAACCUCUGUCAACAGGGACGAAAAUGACGGUACCUGUGAAGGAAGCUCCGGCUAACUACGUGCCAGCAGCCGCGGUAAUACGUAGGGAGCAAGCGUUAUCCGGAAUUACUGGGUGUAAAGGGAGCGUAGACGGCAUGGCAAGUCUGAAGUGAAGAUCCGGGGCUCAACCCCGGAACUGCUUUGGAAACUGUCAGGCUAGAGUACCGGAGGGGUAAGCGGAAUUCCUAGUGUAGCGGUGAAAUGCGUAGAUAUUAGGAGGAACACCAGUGGCGAAGGCGGCUUACUGGACGGUAACUGACGUUGAGGCUCGAAAGCGUGGGGAGCAAACAGGAUUAGAUACCCCGGUA
rnacentral:rRNA from 1 species